rnacentral:rRNA from 1 species
CAGCAGCCGCGGGAAAACGGAGGGUGCAAGCGUUAAUCGGAAUUACUGGGCGUAAAGCGCACGCAGGCGGUCUGACAAGUCAGAUGUGAAAUCCCCGGGCUUAACCUGGGAACUGCAUUUGAAACUGUCAGGCUGGAGUCUUGUAGAGGGGGGUAGAAUUCCAGGUGUAGCGGUGAAAUGCGUAGAGAUCUGGAGGAAUACCGGUGGCGAAGGCGGCCCCCUGGACAAAGACUGACGCUCAGGUGCGAAAGCGUGGGGAGCAAACAGGAUUAGAGACCCCGGUAGUCCCUGUCUCUUAUAC